AUUUUAUAUCUCCUCUUUUAAGUAAAUGAAACAAAUAGUGAUAUACUUUCUACAUAAAAAAACAAUUGGAUUCUUAUCAAACAAAUAAAUGAAUUUGUAUGACCCUUUGGCUUGGAAUUUCCAUCUACUUAAGGACAGAACUGGGAGGAAGUCCCCUAACUGCAACUCAAUCGUCGGUCUUCAUGCGGCUAAUAAUUCCUUAAUCUGAAAUGUAUUAUGCAGUUCUAUGAUUGUUUAUUGCAUUAUGCGCCCGACUGGUCGUGGUCAUUGCCAUUGUCCGGUUAGGACUGCAGAGUGGAACCCGAAAAAGUGGCAAGCUCAUGGCGAUGUACCUAUAGUCUGUGAUGCACCUGUCUCAUCUUUGGCUUGAGCCAAGCGGAGGAAGAAGCAGCACAAGCCGGCUGCCGUCUGCCGGCUGUUGGCCGUCGACCGUCGACGUCGACCAUCGAAUGUUGGCCGUCUGUCCCUGCCGUCUGCCGUCUACCUGGGACAAUUGGCCAAACAUUAAGAGCACCACCGCCGGGCUGCGAAGUGGCCGGCAAUGUGGAUGUUGUUUGAACAGGCACUGGAACAGCCAGGGAAAGGCACUUGGACUCAACUGUUUAGAUUCCCAAAAGAGAGAGGCAGAAAAUUCAAUUUUUGAAUUUGUUUUCGAUGCAUAAACAAGAAUUGGUAAUAGGAAUUUGCCCCGCCUCUGCUUUGGCAGCACAACUUCCCUUCUCUGAUUAGGCCCUGCAGAGUCAAUAAAUAUGACCAAGUUAUGACUAAGAAUCACGGUAGGCUUCUUGGGGACUCCUCCACCAUUCCACCUGUCCUGUCCACAAUUUUCAAUUUGUGUACGCAAAUCCAGGGAAAUCGUGGCCCGACAUGAAACAACAGGGCUAAUGCUGAACGAAAAAAGCCCAACUAAAUCCGGCCAACUAUUACCAAACUAAACUGAACCGAGCCAUCUUGUAUGUUAAGUUAAUUCCACUCGGUGAGUUAUGAAUAAAUAAAUAUUGUAAAUGGUUUAUCGUGACUGCCUGUCGUUAUGUACAAAGUUCCCUCCGUUUUACCCACGACACACAUGCAAUGCCUUCAAGGAUAAAAGAUAUUGGGGUGUUGGCGAAGGACUGAGGGGCGGGGAUUCAUGACAUGCAAAUUGCAUUUUGUCAUUAUUCCGGGUUGUUUGAUCAAUUUUUAUGACAAAUUAUCGAAGAAA